GGAGAUUUAGCUUAGUAGGAUAAGCGCCUGCCUUGCAAGCAGGCAGUCCUGAGUUCAAUCCCUG
rnacentral:tRNA from 1 species